CGGCAGAUAAGGAUGGAGGCGACUCAACAUCACAGAUAUGAGCCCUGCAUUUCUGAAUGCCUUGAAAGAAAAACCAGCAAGUUGGGAGGGCUGUGUCUCCUUAUCGUCUUCCAGGAAUUCAAAACCGUGAUUUCCAGUUUCCAAAUGCAACUCAAACUCCAUCACCCUGUACAUCUUGCACGGUUUCUCCAGCAUAUUCUGAUCACCACCUCCAGACCCUUCUGAUAGAUUCAUUACCUGAAUCUGUUUGAUCCUGAACUCCUGCUCUCCCUUGGCUCAACCUCAUCACAGCCAGAAAGGAUGAGAGCUCUUUAAUGAAGUGGAUACAUGUCAGUUUCCCAGGACACAAACCAAAGUAAAGAAGACUGGAGCAUGCUCCUGUAAAGGAAAAUAAAAGGAGAUCCAUAAAGCAAAUCCAACUCACGGACACUUACUAAACAUGCACUGUGUUCACGUAAUGGCUCCAAGAAUCUUAGUGGACAUGGACGGAAGUACACACCUGGAGUGGACCUAUAGAAGCUCAGAGUCAAAUGGCAGAAAGACGAGAUGGGCAUUGAAAACAUUAAAUGAAAAUAAAAGUAAUAAAUCACAAGAGAAGAGAGUAACUGAGGGUGUCACUGGGCAGUACAUUAGCAAUUAAUUACCAGACACCUAUGCAGUUAAAAUGUACUGCUGGCCUUCAAAGGUGAAGGAAUCCAUGGCCUGGAACGACCAUAAAAAUUUUAUUUUAACAAAAAGACAUGACUGUAGCCUUUUAGGGUAAAGAGAUUUUAACAUUUGAAGAGCAGAGAGACAGGUACAGCAUUGCAGGCUAGGAAAUGUGGGAGUUCAAAAUGGCAGACCAGGAGGAAGGCAAGUUGUGUUUGGGAAAAUUGACUUUUUGGUUAUUAGAAAGACCAUGUAAGCAAGCAGAGAUCAAUUAUGCUAGAAAUGUUUUUCAAAUUGAGCAUCUGGAGUGUGUUAGGCACUGCUCUCGGCACUGGGGAUACAGCUGUGAACAUGAUCAACAAGGACCCUGCAAUCAUGGAGAUUAAAUUAUAGUGAGGCAAACAGAAUAUAAAUAAAUAUACACAUUAGGUGAAAGCCAGAUAGCUUCGGGUCUUAUGGAGAGAGUUACUGUUGGAGCAUGUACUAGAGAAUGACUAAAUGGUAACUAUAUGGGAUGGUCGAAGAUGACCUCAAUGAGGAGUCUCUACACGUAGAUAAGACCCAAAUAGCAAGAAUGGUUCUUGUUCUGUAUUAUAAUCAAGAGGAAGAGGAUUUCAGGCAGAGGGAAAAAUGGGAUCCAUGGGCUAAAACAGGUACUUGAAUGAUGCUUUUGAGGAAAUAAAUGAAGAUCAGCGUAGCUAGAGCAUUGUGAUGAAGGUUUAUACCAGGUGCUGGCUGGUUUUUAUUCCUAGUGAGAGACAAUUGUUGCAUUUUCAGGGAUUUUGUAAGCCAAUUGAUAUAACGUUGGUAGCUUAUAAUUGACUAUGGUAGGAAUAUUCAUACCUGAGAAAUCGGCAAACACUGUGAAUCAGGACUCCCUCUUUGUCCCCAACCCUCAACUCCCAUUCAGAGAGCCUGUUAUUGAGUAUUUUUUUUGCAUACCACAGAGUGAGUAUAAGCAGCAGCUGGAAUAGUAACUAGGAACCAAUCAUCUUAGGCUUUAUAAGGCAGAGAAAGGAAUUUUAAUUUUAGGUGUGUUGGGAAGCCAUUAGUUGGUCUUAUGUAGGAAAUGAAUAUGGUCUGAUUUACAUAUGUAAAGGACAAUUCUGAGUAUGUUAUGGAACACUUUGUAAAUAGGUAAAAAGAGAAAUAGGAAAAUCAGCUAUUGCACUAGACUGAGUUAGAAGUUGCAGUGGUUUUGCUAGGGGGUAUAUAAAAGGAAGAAAACUUAAUAAUGUUAGGCCUGACUAUAGGUAGAAUCUAUAGUUUUUACUCAUGAAUUGGAUGUAAGAAUUGAGAAAAAAGAAGAACCAAGUAAAAAUUUUGAGCUUUGGCUUGGGAAACUAGGUAUAUGGUAACGCCAAAAAGAGAGAUGUAGAGAAUUGAUGUAGGAGCAAAGCUGGGCUGGGAAAUUGAGAAAAUUACACCUGUCUUGUUAAAGUUGAAACACCCACAUGACAUUCACCUAGAAGGAUAUUCACACUUGGAUUGUUGAGGAAUAAUAAGAAUUAGAGAUACAGUUUGAGGGUCACUGGCAUAGAGAUAGUAAUUAAAACCAGGAUGUCAGUUAUAUCACCUAGGGAUAAUGCAAAGAGAGAGAAAAGCAGGAGAUAAGACAGAUCGAGCAGAGUGGGAGAAGCCGGCAUUGAAGAAUGAAGAGGAAAACCAGACAUAUCUAGUGCCAUGAUGCCAAGAGAAAAACCCGACUCCGAGAAGACAGGAGUUUGUUUGCUAAUGUUAUUGAGGGAUAAAGUAAAAUACGAAGAGAGAAGUAACUUGGACUGGCAGCAAAGCGAUCACCAGUGCUCCUUAUAACUGUGGUGUCGAUAAAGUAAUGUGGACUGGAUGAAGGAGCCUCGUUGGAAUAAACUCAUAUAGGAAUGAUGAUACCGUGUUUACCUACUAAUGGGAAUGACCCUAUUGAAGAGGGAACAUCACGUAUGUUGGGGAGCAGAAAAGUCAAAGUCCUCGAAAAGAAAUUUUCUCAUCUUUCAACAUCCAAUUCAAGUCCCACCAACUCUAAGAAAUC
rnacentral:lncRNA from 1 species